GUUCGUCGUACAUUUUAAGGCAACCUCGUGAGUGGUGUGCGAAUUCAUGGUGGUAUUAUCAGUAAUGUGUGAAUUCGGGAUAUCACAAUUAUUGGAUUAAAGGAGUCAUUAUCAGUGAUGUUUGAAUUGAGGGUGUCAUCUUCAGUGGUGUUUGAAGCAGAGUUAUUACCAUUUUUCACUUAUGAAUUGAAGAAAUCAUUAUAAAUGGGUAGUGAAUAAGGAAUAUCACCAUUAUAAGUUGAUCAAUUGGAUGUUUCAUCAUCAGUUGUUGUGUAAAUUUUAUGAGUAAAAAUAAGUGUUGUGUGUGAAUUUAUUGGGCUUCACUUUCAAG
rnacentral:lncRNA from 1 species